rnacentral:rRNA from 1 species
AUACGGAGGGUGCAAGCGUUAAUCGGAAUUACUGGGCGUAAAGCGUACGUAGGCGGUUAGUUAAGUUAGAUGUGAAAGCCCCGGGCUUAACCUGGGAACUGCAUUUAAAACUGGCGAACUAGAGUUGAGUAGAGGGGAGUGGAAUUUCAGGUGUAGCGGUGAAAUGCGUAGAGAUCUGAAGGAACACCAGUGGCGAAGGCGACUCCCUGGACUCGAACUGACGCUGAGGUACGAAAGCGUGGGUAGCAAACGGGAUUAGAAACCCUAGUAGUCC